rnacentral:rRNA from 1 species
GAAUACAUUAGCAUGGAAUAACGCGAUAGGACUCUGGUCUUAUUGUGUUGGUCUUCGAGACCGGAGUAAUGAUUAAGAGGGACAGUUGGGGGCAUUCGUAUUUAAUUGUCAGAGGUGAAAUUCUUGGAUUUAUGAAAGACGAACUUCUGCGAAAGCAUUUGCCAAGGAUGUUUUCAUUAAUCAAGAACGAAAGUUGGGGGCUCGAAGACGAUCAGAUACCGUCCUAGUCUCAACCAUAAACGAUGCCGACUAGGGAUUGGCGGAUGUUAAUUCGAUGACUUCGCCAGCACCUUAUGAGAAAUCAAAGUUUUUGGGUUCCGGGGGGAGUAUGG